rnacentral:misc_RNA from 1 species
CUACUCCCCAUUUUUGUAAAUCGCCAAAUGAAAAUUAAAAAAAACUUCGUACCUUUAAUUUAAUGCAAUAAUAUGUGCAAUUUGAAGCAUGCCGAUUCAGGCGCCCUCAUGGACAGACUUUCUCAACUGUCCCAUCUGCUGCAAUGAGUUUGAAGCCAGCCAGCGUGUGCCGAUCAGCCUCGGCUGUGGCCACACUAUAUGCAAGCCCUGUCUGACCACACUCUACAAUCGGCAAUGUCCCUAUGAUCAGACUCUAAUUGUGACGGACAUCAACAAUUUGCCCUUUAACUAUGCGUUACUGCAACUGGUGGGCAAUGGAAAUGGAAACGGAAAUGGAAAUGGAAAUGGCAAUGGCAGCAGUGGAAGUGGUGCAGUUGGUGAUAAACGCGUGUCCAACAAGGAGGUGCAGCUGGCAGAUUUGGCGCCAAGUGUGCUUAAGCUGCAGCCGGAGGAGCUCAAGUGCUAUAAGCUGGGCAAGAAAUGCAUCGAAGAGUUGGCCCUGCAUUUAAAGUCGUUUUUGAAUUUGAAUAGCAGUAAUUUACUAACCAGGCCCAUGCAACGCAAACUGGUCACUCUUGUCAAUUGCCAGCUAAUGGAGGAGGAAGGUCGUGUUCGUGCCUUGCGAGCUGCUCGUUCCUUGGGCGAACGUACCGUAACCGAGCUGAUUCUACAGCAUCAGAAUCCACAGCAGCUCAGCUCGAAUUUGUGGGCAGCGGUGCGAACGCGAGGAUGUCAGUUCCUAGGUCCUGCCAUGCAAGAGGAGGUACUCAAGCUCGUUUUGCUCGCUUUGGAAGAGGGCUCUGCGCUAUCUCGCAAGGUGUUGGUCAUGUUUGUGGUGCAGCGGCUGGAGCCGCACUUCCCGCAAGCCUCGAAGACAAGCAUUGGUCAUGUGGUGCAGCUGCUCUACCGCGCUAGCUGCUUUAAGGUGUCCAAGCGCGAGGCAGACUCUUCCCUGAUGCAGCUCAAGGAGGAGUUUCGCACCUACGAUGCACUGAGACGUGAACACGAUGCACAGAUUGUACAAAUAGCCACAGAGGCUGGCCUACGGAUUGCUCCCGAGCAAUGGUCUUCGCUGUUGUACGGCGACAUACAACACAAAUCCCACAUGCAGAGCAUCAUUGACAAGCUGCAGACGCCGUCCGCCUUUGCACAGUCCGUGCAGGAGCUGGUGAUUGCACUGCAGCGCACCAGCGAUCCGGCCAAGCUGGCGCUUUUGCACACUCAUCUGCAAUACUUGGCCAGCAUUGAUCCGUGCGUAGAGACAGCGGCCUGGGAGGAUGUGUCGAAAGCUUUGGACGCUGUACGGCAUGCUGUAAUGGGCCUGGUUCAGUACUUGCAGCACCAUGGCGUACGCAAGCCGCAGGACAGUAAUCUCGCGGGUGGAUCUGCGAACAACAACAACACCAAGUACAAAAUUAGUCUGUGCCGCGAUCUCAAUAAUCGACGCGUUUGUCCACGGGGAGCCAGCUGCACAUUUGCCCAUUCGCAGGAGGAAGUGGAGCGCUAUCGAGCACGCAAUCGUGGAAAGCAUAUUAAGUCACCCAUGAACAUGGCAAUGCCCAACAUGCCACCAGGCAAUAAGAAGCCGUUGCCGUUGGCCAGCGAAGUGCCCACUGGUGCCAUGCUGCCCAUAUCGCCCAUACGCUAUAUGCAACCACCGCCACCAGCACCGCCUGCUCGCGGCUUUCUCGAUCCCAAUUGCAAUAUGCCACCAGCGGCACACAAUCUAUCGCCUGGUGCCGUACAUCCACAGAUGCUAAGUGCGCACCACAGUCCCAUGGGGCGACAGCAGCAGCAGCAGCCACAUACGGCGCUCAACGGACUGCUGGUGCCACCACCCCCACCCCCCUUGGGAUACGAGCAACGCUUUAACUUUGCACCACCGCCACGCAAUGCAGCGCGUAUCAACCCACCGAACUACAAUAGCAACAGCAACAACAGCAGCAACAGCAACCACAGCAACAACAAUAACCUACAUAAUCACAAGAGCUUCUGCAGCAUGCUUCCAGCGGAUGUUUAUCAUGCGCCCUACUUUGGCAACGAGGCCAAAGGCAACGUCGAGAUGUCACAAAAACUAGGCGGCAAUAAUCCAUGGGAGCAUCCAUAUAUGCCGACGCUAGUGCCGCCACCGCCGCCGCCGUCCAGCAAAAAUCCCAGUCGAGUUAUGUCGACGAUUUCACAUGCAACAGCUGAUACCUCAUUUUAUGAAAAGAAACCGCCGAGUACUGUUAACAUUGAGCCGUUGGCCGAGGGUGCAGUGAAUAGCGAAUCCAUGCCAUUGUUUAGGCCCAGCAACACCGGCAGCACCAACAAUAGCAACAACAACUGCAGCACCAACAACAACAACUCAUUGAUAUUCUGGAAUAACAGCAACAAGGAUUCGGCGAACUUUGUGCGUUCCGAUUCCAUAUUGGAUGACGAUGCGUCCACGUUUGAUGUGCCCAGCGGGUCAUCGAUAAACAGCCGCUAUGGUCCCAUUUGUCCCAAACGCAAUGUGACAAACAAUUGGAACAACUGGCUCGUGGAGAAUGAGACGAAAAACAAUAAUGAGUUCCUCAGCGAGAAGAGCACUAGCUAUGCAGGAUUUGAGCCCAAGCCAGGCUAUAAACCAGAGCACAAUGACAACACCAAUGCCAAUAAGAACGUCGCUGGACGUGAUAGCGUGUUCCUUUGGAAUAGCGAACUGAAUGCGAAUGUCAGCAGCCCGGCGAGCAAUUAUUGGAACAGCAGCACAAGCAGCGCGCCAACGGAAAGACUGAAGCAGCAGGAUAGGAAGCCAGUGCUGAUGUCCGAGGAUAGCGUGGAGGGUGGCAUCGAUAGCGGCAUGAUGAGCGAGCUGGAAAAGAAGCUAGUGGACAUUGUGGAGGUCUGGUCAAAUCCGGAUGAUAGCGGCAUAAAGCUGGACUAGGCCAAGGAUAUAAAUAUAUAUAUAUAACAAAACAUCGUUCGUUCGAAUGAUCGAUGGAGUGGAAACAUAAUGCAAUCAUUUUACAAAAUGUCAUAUAGAGGACAUUACGACAGUUAAAGGUUGAUCAUUAUUCGAUCGGUCCAUGAAGUAAGAUGAGACGUAACAGGAACAGAAACAGAACAUAACAAAAGGAAAAAAAUUCAAGAACAUUUGGGUAGGGGAAAUUAGAAUUUUAAUUAUAUAAUUGUCUAUUUAAA